GUGAUCAAAGUAAUGAUAUCUUUAAUUUCAUCGGAUUGGUUUUGUAGAAAGAGUAUAAAGAGAGUUGAGUUAUCUGACCUGAGGUAAGGAUAGUUUUUUUUUUUAGCUGUUUGAGGUUUUCAACUAGGCAAGGGAAGCUAAUUACUUUAAUUUUAUGUUAAGAAGUAUGAAUGUAUGUUAGAUAAGUUGUGAAAUUAAUGUUUGGUUGAAUAUGUUAUCAAUUAAGAUGAUUGUUUAGUGAAUGUUGUCUAUUGAUGAAUAUUUCUAUAUAUGAUUGUGAAUUGGUACUUGCUUGAACCUUUAAUGUUGUUCUUUUGAAGUGUAAUUAGGUACAAAAUUGUUAUAGAAUUGGAAGUAGUAAAAAAGGGUGUGUUAUAUGCUAGUUUUGGUCUAAAAAGAGUGGGUUUGAUAGGUGAAACUUUGAAAGAAUGGUUGGUAAAUUUGAUGCUUAGGGUCUAUUUUUGGAUCAUUUAAGACUUGUUUAGCUAAUUAGAUCAUUAAAAUUUGUUUUGUAACAUGUAGAAGUUAAGUUGUUUGUUUUUGAGUUAUUUGAUAUGGGGAAUCUCAUUCGGGAUUAAAUAAGCAAAUUGAUAUUCAAUUUUAGUUAUAAACAUGUUUUUAAUCAGUUUUAGUGUCAAAAGAUAUCAAUUUGGUGAUUUGGAUAUGUCGGGAUGCAACCAAAUCAGAAAUCAAAGUUUGUUGAAAUGAAAGGUGGUAAUCUGAUAGGGAUAAUUGGUUAUCUUAUUUGAUAAUUGAUUAUCUCAUGCAAAAAUUUAUCUUUGGUUAACCACUCUUUGGAAUAAUUGAUUAUCUUGCUUGAUAAUCAUUAUUUCAGUGAGAAAGUCAUUCUUGCAUAAAAAAAGUCUAUAGGAUAAUCGAUUAUUAGGUGAGAUGACCGAUUAUCUUAGAAGAAAAUCACUAGACACUUGUUUUUAGCAUUUUAUGUUUGCUUUCUUUACUUAAGUUUAGUGUUUGGUUUUAAGUUGGUUAGUAUGAUAUUAUGUACAGUUGUGAAAAGUUAGGAAUGACUUGUGAAUGGUAAUGAUGAAAAUGCAUUUGGUUUAAGUACAUGGUGAAAGAAAUUUUAUUAGAAAGAUCCUUGUGUUGUGCUUGUGAUAAUGUAUUAUUGUAGGAGUUUUGAAACGGGAGAAUGUUUAUGAUACUCCAAUAUCUAUCCAACUUCAAGUAGGGAGGGAUGGUUAUGUCGUGAGGAGUAGCAGGAGAUCCUUAGCCUAUGGUCAGUUUGACUAUAGGUGUUUCACAAAGAUUAACCUUGUGUAAUAGUUUGGGCGGUAUGUUGUUAUACUACACAUGCGCAUGUCCCUCAAUAGUUCGACAUCAAUACAUGUAUAUGGAUGAUCAAGUCUAAACUCUAGAUAUAUGUAUAUAAAUUUGUACUUGGUUUUUGAUGAGAUUGAUGUUGAAAUUGUUACAUUUCUG
rnacentral:sRNA from 1 species